UGGGGAAUAUUGGACAAUGGGCGCAAGCCUGAUCCAGCCAUGCCGCGUGAGUGAUGAAGGCCCUAGGGUUGUAAAGCUCUUUCACCGGGGAAGAUAAUGACGGUAACCGGAGAAGAAGCCACGGCUAACUUCGUGCCAGCAGCCGCGGUAAUACGAAGGGGGCGAGCGUUGUUCGGAUUUACUGGGCGUAAAGAGCACGUAGGCGGACUAUUAAGUCAGGGGUGAAAUCCCGGGGCUCAACCCCGGAACUGCCUUUGAUACUGGUAGUCUUGAGUUCGGGAGAGGUGAGUGGAAUUCCGAGUGUAGAGGUGAAAUUCGUAGAUAUUCGGAGGAACACCGUUGCCGAAGGCGGCUCCCUGGCUCGAUACUGACGCUGAGGUGCGAAAGCGUGGGGAGCAAACAGG
rnacentral:rRNA from 1 species